AUUGAACGCUGGCGGCAGGCCUAACACAUGCAAGUCGAACGAGUGGCGGACGGGUGAGUAAUGUCUGGGAAACUGCCUGAUGGAGGGGGAUAACUACUGGACACGGUAGCUAAUACCGCAUACCAUCAGAUGUGCCCAGAGGGGAUUAGCUUGUUGGGGGGGUACCGGCUCACCAAGGCGACGCUCCCUAGCUGGUCUGAGAGGAUGACCAGCUACACUGGAACUGAGACACGGUCCAGACUCCUACGGGAGGCAGCAGUGGGGAAUAUUGCACAAUGGGCGAAAGCCUGAGGCAGCCAUGCCGCGUGUAUGAAGAAGGCCUUCGGGUUGUAAAGUACUUUCAGCGGGGAGGCGUUACCCGCAGAAGAAGCACCGGCUAACUCCGUGCCAGCAGCCGCGGUAAUUC
rnacentral:rRNA from 1 species